UACAGAGGUCUCAAGCGUUGUUCGGAUUCAUUGGGCGUAAAGGGUGCGUAGGUGGCGCCGUAAGUCGGGUGUGAAAUUUCGGAGCUUAACUCCGAAACUGCAUUCGAUACUGCGGUGCUUGAGGACUGGAGAGGAGACUGGAAUUCAUGGUGUAGCAGUGAAAUGCGUAGCGAUCAUGAGGAAGACCAGUGGCGAAGGCGGGUCUCUGGACAGUUCCUGACACUGAGGCACGAAGGCCAGGGGAGCAAACGGG
rnacentral:rRNA from 1 species